CAAGAUUUGCAACUUAUGUUUUGCGGGAAGAUGGCAACAGGGAAUCCAGGUUCAGUCAGGAGGCGACUCUGCCUACGCUAUUGUCAAUCGGCCCGGCUAGGAGGAAGCUUGGUUCUGAGCCGUCGACAAUGCUGUUGCAAGGCAUGCCUUUCUGGAGACGACGUUGUCCGGCAAAGUAGUUGUGCCUGUGCCGGCGCUCACUCUGACGCUUCUCGUGGGGCCACUUAGUCGACUUCCACAUGCAAAGUGGAGCCAAGGAAUCAGGCAUGUGCUCCUCGUUGUCCUUGACCUCCAAGGACGCAAGUCCCCAACCUUGGUUCCUCUGCGACUACCACACCAAUCUCGACGCCCACCUCCCUACAACUGUUGCCAGCACCGACUCUCAACGUUGAGUUAACCUGAUACGCUCAAGGGCUAUGUAGAGUGGGUUGUCAAGAUGAAGGGCUCGACAUUGAGUCCAUCGAGUAGUUCGUACAUGGUGUGAUGACCUGGGCUCCCAUGGCUGCCUCCUAGGCUACAAC